rnacentral:rRNA from 1 species
AGCGCAGGCGGUUUGAUAAGUCUGAAGUUAAAGGCUGUGGCUCAACCAUAGUUCGCUUUGGAAACUGUCAAACUUGAGUGCAGAAGGGGAGGGUGGAAUUCCAUGUGUAGCGGUGAAAUGCGUAGAUAUAUGGAGGAACACCGGUGGCGAAAGCGGCUCUCUGGUCUGUAACUGACGCUGAUGUGCGAAAGCGUGGGGAUCAAACG